rnacentral:rRNA from 1 species
AGUGAACGCUGGCGGUAGGCCUAACACAUGCAAGUCGAACGGCAGCACAGUAGGAGCUUGCUCUUACGGGUGGCGAGUGGCGGACGGGUGAGGAAUACAUCGGAAUCUACUUUUUCGUGGGGGAUAACGUAGGGAAACUUACGCUAAUACCGCAUACGACCUACGGGUGAAAGCAGGGGAUCUUCGGACCUUGCGCGAUUGAAUGAGCCGAUGUCGGAUUAGCUAGUUGGCGGGGUAAGGGCCCACCAAGGCGACGAUCCGUAGCUGGUCUGAGAGGAUGAUCAGCCACACUGGAACUGAGACACGGUCCAGACUCCUACGGGAGGCAGCAGUGGGGAAUAUUGGACAAUGGGCGCAAGCCUGAUCCAGCCAUACCGCGUGGGUGAAGAAGGCCUUCGGGUUGUAAAGCCCUUUUGUUGGGAAAGAAAAGCAGCAGGUUAAUACCCCGCUGUUCUGACGGUACCCAAAGAAUAAGCACCGGCUAACUUCGUG